CAUUUUCUGCCUUCUGUUUGAUUGCUCAAGUUUUCAUAUUCCCUGCUCUGUUGGAUUGUAAACAUUCUGUUGUUUUACAACCAUGUGCUAUUCCAGGCAUCAGGAAUGUGCAGAGGAAAACGUCGGCCCUCACCAAGCUGACAUUUGUAUGUGUGAGUGACAGACAGCAAAUCACGAAUAAACAAGAUACUGGACAAGCUGCAGAGGGUCUCCCUUAUUUCUUUAAUCAGAUACAGGAAAGAACUCAGGCAGGUGCUGAACUACCCAUCCUUCGCAUCAUCUCCAGCCUCACCCGUAAAAACUUGAAGCUAUACUCAGAAGUGGGAGACCAUUUGGCGAUCUUUUCGGUAAAUACAGCAAAAGGGAGAAAAAAGAACAAUACCUAAUGGAUCCAACUCCUGCGUCCAAGCAGACAGUUUAACCCCUGGGUCAUCGUGUUUGUAUUUCACUUAUUGGAUUGUUAAUAGAUUUUCUUCAUUUGUGUGAGACGUUGCGAAUGAUGUGCGGAGGCCGCCGCUUCCUCCGGCGCUGGGACUCGAGGUCCACCUGUAAGGAGACGGCGUUAAAAGCUGCUGGAGUUGCUGCCUCCUGACAACAUCCCAGCUGUAGACUCGCAAUCGCAAUCCUCGGGUGGCAGUUUUAAUUAUCGGCACCGCGAUACCAUCAGCAAGUGUGUAAUUACGUGUCAGUUUCCUGGCUGUUGGGUAUGAAAAGUGGAUCCAGUGAAAUGAUGAUUGUGGAAGCUGUAGACUCAUAUUUAAACAAUUCAAAAUGUGUAACUGGCAGUGUCAUUAAACAGAGAGAGCCUGACCCCAGCUGUCACUUACUUUCCCUUAUGCAGAUUUGUUCGUGCUGUCUGUCAAAAGAACUCCAUGGGCUGAAAUGGGACAGAGGGAGGUGACAUAAUUCUCCGAGCAAAGAGGGCUGCUCUCCUUAACCCCGCAGAGGCGUUCUUUUAGCCUAAACAAAUACGACUGCUGAAAUUGUAAAUAAACCAAGACCAUUACGGGAAAUUAUAUAGACUUUUGCCGAUGAAUACACAAAGGCAGAAUAUCAAACAGACAUCCCUUCUUAAAAAAUGUGAAUAAAACCUGCCCGAUUGUCAUGCACUUAAAGAAGAAGUACUGUGGUAAUUGGGAGGGUUGAUGUUUGAAGCAGAAAAUUAAAUGACCCUUUUAGUUUGAGAUCAAAAUUGUGGGUGCAAGAUGAAGAAAAGGGGGGGUUUAUUUUGAAAACUGCUCUGUAUCAACAGUGAGAAACAUGAAUGGAUAAAAAAAAUUACACAGAUUUAAAUAAACUUCA